rnacentral:rRNA from 1 species
AUUGAACGCUGGCGGCAUGCCUUACACAUGCGAGUCGAACGGCAGCACGGGUGCUUGCACCUGGUGGCGAGUGGCGAACGGGUGAGUAAUACAUCGGAACAUGUCCUGUAGUGGGGGAUAGCCCGGCGAAAGCCGGAUUAAUACCGCAUACGAUCUACGGCUGAAAGCGGGGGACCUUCGGGCCUCGCGCUAUAGGGUUGGCCGAUGGCUGAUUAGCUAGUUGGUGGGGUAAAGGCCUACCAAGGCGACGAUCAGUAGCUGGUCUGAGAGGACGAUCAGCCACACUGGGACUGAGACACGGCCCAGACUCCUACGGGAGGCAGCAGUGGGGAAUUUUGGACAAUGGGCGAAAGCCUGAUCCAGCAAUGCCGCGUGUGUGAAGAAGGCCUUCGGGUUGUAAAGCACUUUUGUCCGGAAAGAAAACCUUGGCCCUAAUACGGUCGGGUGAUGACGGUACCGGAAGAAUAAGCACCGGCUAACUACGUG